CGAUUUUAUUUACAAUGUACUUUCAUUGUUCAGAAAAGAAAAUAAGAACGUCCCCUUUAAAGAUUCAUAAGGAUUAAUGGAGGGACGCACCGAACAAAAAUGGGCGUGGUUACUGACGGACGCAUUCAGCUGACUUUGCUCUUCUCUUCAGCCAAGCUUUUUCUCCUGAUCGAAGGCUGCAUGGGAAGGGGCAGGCUCAGAGCUCUCAUCCAAAUUCUGGAUGAGCCAGAAAAAUAGGCUCUGGUUAAAAGCUGUAAAAAAAAAAAAAAAAAAAUUAAAAGUAGGUGUGUUGAGUCCAUCAUCGCCGCCGCUGCCGCCACCGCCAUGGCUCAGUACAAGGGUGCCGCCAGCGAGGCGGGCCGCGCCAUGAACCUCAUGAAGAAGCGGGAGAAGCAGCGCGAGCAGAUGGAGCAGAUAAAGCAGAGGAUUGCUGAGGAGAACAUAAUGAAGUCCAACAUUGACAAGAAGUUCUCUGCGCACUACGACGCCGUGGAGGCCGAGCUCAAGUCCAGCACUGUGGGUCUUGUGACCCUGAACGACAUGAAGGCUAAGCAGGAGGCGCUGGUGAAGGAGCAGGAGAGGCAACUCGCCAAGAAGGAGCAGUCGAAGGAGCUGCAGCUGAAGCUGGAGAAGCUGCGAGAAAAGGAGCGCAAGAAGGAGGCCAAGCGGAAGAUCUCCAGCUUGUCCUUCACCCUGGAGGAAGAAGAGGAGGCAGGCGAGGAGGAGGAGGUCGCUGUGGACGAGGAGGAGCUGGAAAGGGAAGAGAUCACCACAAAGAAGAGGAAAAUGGGGAAGAACCCAGAUGUGGACACAAGUUUCUUGCCUGACCGAAACCGGGAGGAGGAGGAGAAUCGGCUCCCAGAGGAGCUACAGCAAGAGUGGGAAGCCAAGCAAGAGAAGAUGAAGAGUGAGGAGACUGAGAUCACCUUCAGCUACUGGGAUGGCUCUGGGCACCGGCGCUCAGUCAAGAUGAAGAAGGGCAACACGAUGCAGCAGUUCCUGCAGAAGGCACUUGAGAUCCUGCGCAAAGACUUCAGCGAACUCAGAUCGGCAGGCGUGGAGCAGCUCAUGUGCAUCAAGGAGGACUUAAUCAUACCUCACCACCACAGCUUCUACGACUUCAUCGUCACCAAGGCUCGAGGAAAAAGUGGGCCCCUCUUCAGUUUUGACGUUCAUGAAGAUGUGCGGCUGCUCAGUGACGCCACUGUGGAGAAGGAUGAGUCGCACGCGGGCAAGGUGGUGCUGCGGAGCUGGUACGAGAAAAACAAGCACAUCUUCGCCGCCAGCCCCUGGGAGCCCUACGACCCCGAGAAGUGGGACAAGUACACGAUCCGAUGACGUGGCUGCAGUGUGGCCCCGGCUCCCUGUGGUCCCCUCCUUUGGUCCCCAGGACUCAGAGUGCCCAGCUCCCCGCUCCUAAGAUGGGAUCAGACCUGCUCAGCCCCUGCCCUGGCGCUGUUGUUUCUUGCCUCUUUCUUUCAUGACACUUGGAGCACCCGAUGUGUGUUUUGUCUAAAAACUUUUUUUGAUCGAGCUAAAAUUCACUUACAG